CAGCAGCCACGGGAAUACGAGGGGGGCAAGCGUUGUUCGGAAUUAUUGGGCGUAAAGGGUGCGUAGGCGGUUUGGUAAGCCUUGUGUGAAAUCUUCGGGCUCAACUCGGAGUCUGCACGAGAAACUGCCGGGCUUGAGUGUGGGAGAGGUGAGUGGAAUUUCCGGUGUAGCGGUGAAAUGCGUAGAUAUCGGAAGGAACACCUGUGGCGAAAGCGGCUCACUGGACCAUAACUGACGCUGAUGCACGAAAGCUAGGGGAGCAAACAGGAUUAGAUACCCGAGUAGUCCCUGUCUCUUAUAC
rnacentral:rRNA from 1 species